CAGAAGGAUCAUUACAUGAAGGAACAGGAGGAAAGAGAUGCUGUCCACAGGGGUUGGUUGGUUGGAUACAUAAAUCUCACUGACCUCACAGAGCUUACUGACCUCACAGAGCUCGCAGAGCUCUGAAGAUUCAAAGUUAAAGUAGGAGCAUAGUGUCUACCUGACCUUAACUGGUUGGCACCAUACCCAAUUUCUAGGUCCAGCCCAGCUUGUAUAUCCUCAUGGGGCCCCAGGCAGUUGAUUACUGUUGAGAGAGUUAGUGUUUCCCAUGGAUGGGCUCCCUAAUUGGUUAUCUAGUGUAGAGUCUGGCCAGCAGAUUUACUUGGGUCGUGGGAAACUUUGAACUGGAGGUUGGACCAGACCUGUGGGAAUAAACCAGUCGAGAACAAAAGACAGAUGCCAAGUAAAUGUAUCAAAGCGUGCUUUACUUGGGGUGAAAUGGGUUUUUAUAUCCAGGCAGCAAAGUGGAACCACAAUACCUAAACAUAGUAUAUGCAUAACGUAAAUACAACAGCAGACAUAUAGAGGCUGGGUUCUCAGUGGUAUCACAUCGCAGGCAACCAGUCUGUUUAAGGCAUCUAGCAAUGCAAGCCUUUGGGCAUAGAAGAGGAUUUACAUCUAAGAACCAAAAGGGUAGAACAAGAUAGGAGAAAUCUGACCUCAUCCAGGAUAAAAGGAAAACUAAACAGAUAUCUACAUUUCUACGCACUCCAGUGGACUUAUCUUAAUGAACGCACCAGAGAGACAAGGAGAUGUGAAGUAAUUCAAAUCAUUGGGUCCUGUUGAGAUGAUUUAGAUGAGACUGCAACAGAGGGUACCUCGAGCUGGCCUUCAAAGGAGGAAAGCAAACCUUACAGGGAAAAAGAUGGAAGAAUAAAAAUGAAGGAGAUAAGAUAAUUUAACCAA